rnacentral:rRNA from 1 species
GACGAACGCUGGCGGCGUGCUUAACACAUGCAAGUCGAACGGAAAGGCCCUGCUUUUGUGGGGUGCUCGAGUGGCGAACGGGUGAGUAACACGUGAGUAACCUGCCCUUGACUUUGGGAUAACUUCAGGAAACUGGGGCUAAUACCGGAUAGGAGCUCCUGCUGCAUGGUGGGGGUUGGAAAGUUUCGGCGGUUGGGGAUGGACUCGCGGCUUAUCAGCUUGUUGGUGGGGUAGUGGCUUACCAAGGCUUUGACGGGUAGCCGGCCUGAGAGGGUGACCGGCCACAUUGGGACUGAGAUACGGCACAGACUCCUACGGGAGGCAGCAGUGGGGGAUAUUGCACAAUGGGCGGAAGCCUGAUGCAGCAACGCCGCGUGCGGGAUGACGGCCUUCGGGUUGUAAACCGCUUUCGCCUGUGACGAAGCGUGAGUGACGGUAAUGGGUAAAGAAGCACCGGCUAACUACGUG